rnacentral:rRNA from 1 species
UACGUAGGGUGCAAGCGUUGUCCGGAAUUAUUGGGCGUAAAGAGCUCGUAGGCGGUCUGUCGCGUCGGCUGUGAAAACCCGGAGCUCAACUCCGGGCCUGCAGUCGAUACGGGCGGACUUGAGUGUUGCAGGGGAGACUGGAAUUCCUGGUGCAGCGGUGAAAUGCGUAGAUAUCAGGAGGAACACCCGUGGCGAAAGCGGCUCUCUGGGACGGUACUGACGCUGAGACGCGAAAGCGUGGGGAGCAAACGGG